AGGGGAGAUCCCUUGAAAUAGACAUAAGGAUUGAAUCCUAUUCAAUCUCAUGAUAUAAGUCCUACUUGCAUUGGGUUUCCUAUUAACUUAAGUUAUCCAACUUACUUUAGGAGAUCUUUUAGGCACCAACAAUUAGAGCCCUUGCACCCAUAAUUAGACACCCCAAAACACACCCAAGAGAUGCUCCAUAGGAGAAUAAAAAGCUUUCUAAUCAAUGGACACAU
rnacentral:lncRNA from 1 species